rnacentral:rRNA from 1 species
AACGAACGCUGGCGGCAGGCUUAACACAUGCAAGUCGAGCGCCCCGCAAGGGGAGCGGCAGACGGGUGAGUACCGCGUGGGAACGUACCUUUUGGUUCGUAACAACUCCGGGAAACUGGAGCUAAUACCGGAUAAGCCCUAACGGGGAAAGAUUUAUCGCCGAAAGAUCGGCCCGCGUCUGAUUAGCUAGUUGGUGAGGUAACGGCUCACCAAGGCGACGAUCAGUAGCUGGUCUGAGAGGAUGAUCAGCCACACUGGGACUGAGACACGGCCCAGACUCCUACGGGAGGCAGCAGUGGGGAAUAUUGGACAAUGGGCGCAAGCCUGAGCCAGCCAUGCCGCGUGAGUGAUGAAGGCCUUAGGGUUGUAAAGCUCUUUUGUCCGGGAAGAUAAUGACUGUACCGGAAGAAUAAGCCCCGGCUAACUUCGUG